rnacentral:misc_RNA from 1 species
UGGUUCUGGCAUCGAUGAAGAACGCAGCGAAAUGCGAUAAGUAGUGUGAAUUGCAGAAUUCAGUGAAUCAUCGAAUCUUUGAACGCACAUUGCGCCCUUCGGUAUUCCGUUGGGCAUGCCUGUUCGAGCGUCAUUUAAACCUUCAAGCUCAGCUUGGUGUUGGGUGCUUGUCCUCCCCCGCGGUGGACUCACCUCAAAUGCAUUGGCGGCCGGUAUGUUGGCUUCGAGCGCAGUAGAAACGCGCCUGGCGUCUUGACAUACGGGUCCUCCACGAGCCCUUUCUUAAUCUUGACCUCGGAUCAGGUAGGGAUACCCGCUGA